CUCCCUCCCUGAUAUUUCUCAAUAUGUGGCCAAUCAAAAGGGGGCUUUGGGCGUGUGGAUGGUGGAAGGAGAAGGGGGCAGCAUAAGGUGGAAACCCUAGCUUACUUGCUUGAUGUUAUCAUCAUCACGCCCAAACACCCAUCCUUUUAUAGAUGGUGGCCAAGGGAUGGGAUAGAGUUUGGUUAAUUUUAAACUCUUAUCUG
rnacentral:lncRNA from 1 species